UACGUAGGCAGCAAGCGUUGUUCGGAGUUACUGGGCGUAAAGAGUGCGUAGGCGGUUCCGUAAGUUUGUUGUGAAAUCUCCCGGCUUAACUGGGAGGGUGCGGCGAAAACUGCGGGGCUGGAGUAUGGGAGAGGCAGGCGGAAUUCCUGGUGUAGCGGUGAAAUGCGUAGAUAUCAGGAGGAACACCGGUGGUGUAGACGGCUUGCUGGACCAUGACUGACGCUGAGGCACGAAAGCGUGGGGAGCAAACAGG
rnacentral:rRNA from 1 species